rnacentral:rRNA from 1 species
CCGGAGCGCGCUAAAUGCAGUCGACGAAGAGCAAUACUUAGUGGCAGACGGGUGAGUAACAUGUGGGUAUCUACCCUUUGGCCUGGAAUAACACGAGGAAACUUGUGCUAAUACCAGAUAAGUCUUAACGGAGAAAGCUUUAUGCACCAUUGGAUGAGCCUGCACUUGAUUAGUUUGUUGGUGGGGUAAUGGCCUACCAAGACUGUGAUCAAUAGCUGAUUUGAGAGGAUGAUCAGCCACAUUGGGACUGAGACACGGCCCAAACUCCUACGGGAGGCAGCAGUGGGGAAUCUUGCACAAUGGAGGAAACUCUGAUGCAGCGAUGCCGCGUGAGUGAAGAAGGCCCUUGGGUUGUAAAGCUCUUUCGUCGGGGAAGAAAAUGACUGUACCCGAAUAAGAAGGUCCGGCUAACUUCGUGCCAGCAGCCGCGGUAAUACGAAGGGACCUAGCGUAGUUCGGAAUUACUGGGCUUAAAGAGUUCGUAGGUGGUUGAAAAAGUUAGUGGUGAAAUCCCAGAGCUUAACUCUGGAACUGCCAUUAAAACUUUUCAGCUAGAGUAUGAUAGAGGAAAGCAGAAUUUCUAGUGUAGAGGUGAAAUUCGUAGAUAUUAGAAAGAAUACCAAUUGCGAAGGCAGCUUUCUGGAUCAUUACUGACACUGAGGAACGAAAGCAUGGGUAGCGAAGAGGAUUAGAUACCCUCGUAGUCCAUGCCGUAAACGAUGUGUGUUAGACGUUGGAAAUUUAUUUUCAGUGUCGCAGCGAAAGCGAUAAACACACCGCCUGGGGAGUACGACCGCAAGGUUAAAACUCAAAUGAAUUGACGGGGACCCGCACAAGUAGUGGAG